GAUCAUUACAGAGUGAAAGGUAUUCAAUUGCCUGACCUCCAACCCUAUGUUUAACUACCUUUGUUGCUUUGGCAAGUCAUUUUCUUCACUGAAAAUGAUUGGCAGUGUUUAUUCACUGUUGAUCUGUACUUGCCAAUAGCCUAUUUAAAUACUAUUUUAACUAUGAUGUCUGAAUAUUAAAUCAAAUUUAAUUAAAACUUUCAACAACGGAUCUCUUGGUUCUGGCAUCGAUGAAGAACGCAGCGAAAUGCGAUAAGUAAUGUGAAUUGCAGAAUUCAGUGAAUCAUCGAAUCUUUGAACGCACAUUGCGCCCUUUGGUAUUCCGAAGGGCAUGCCUGUUCGAGCGUCAUUAUCAACCCCUCAAGCUUGGCUUGUUAUUGGAUUUAUUGUUAAAACAAUUAAUCUCAAAGAUAAUGGCGGUGUCAAAAUUGACCCCAGAUGCAGCGAGCUUUUUUGCAUACAUUUGAAGUCAAUUUUAACCCUAUGCCUUAUGUUUUUUUUUGUUAAGCUCCGGUUUAAUUAGAAACAAUUUUUUUCAAGGUUGACCUCGGAUCAGGUAGGAAUACCCGCUGAACUUAAGCAUAUCAAUAAGCGGAGGAAAAGAAACCAACAGGGAUUACCUUAGUAACGGCGAGUGAAGCGGUAAUAGCUCAAAUUUGAAAUCUGACUCUUCGAGUCCGAGUUGUAAUUUGUAGAGGAUGUUUCGGGUCCAAUUUCGGUUUAAAUUUCUUGGAACAGAAUGUCAUAGAGGGUGAGAAUCCCGUCUAUAACCGUCUAUUGGUAUCCAUGUGAAACUCCUUCGACGAGUCGAGUUGUUUGGGAAUGCAGCUCUAAAUGGGAGGUAAAUUUCUUCUAAAGCUAAAUAUUGGCCAGAGACCGAUAGCGCACAAGUAGAGUGAUCGAAAGAUGAAAAGCACUUUGAAAAGAGAGUUAAACAGUAUGUGAAAUUGUUGAAAGGGAAGCGCUUGCAAUCAGACUUGCAUUUAACAUUCCCCUAUUGUUUUCAAUAGGUCAUUUUGUUAAAUUCAGGCCAGCAUCAGUUUGAGUGGUUAGUUAAAGACCUUAGGAAUGUAUCUACUUUCGAGUAGACUUAUAGCCUAGGGUGAAAUGUGACCUACUUGGACUGAGGAACGCGC
rnacentral:rRNA from 1 species